rnacentral:rRNA from 1 species
GCUAGCGGCAGGCUUAACACAUGCAAGUCGAACGGUAACAGAAGAGCUUGCUCUUGCUGACGAGUGGCGAACGGGUGCGUAACGCGUAUACAACCUACCUUUAACUGGGGGAUAGCCCAUGGAAACGUGGAUUAAUACCGCAUAACAAUGUAAAUUCGCAUGUUUUUACAUUUAAAACUUCGGUGGUUAAAGAUGGGUAUGCGUGACAUUAGCUAGUUGGUGAGGUAACUGCUCACCAAGGCUACGAUGUCUAGGGGGCCUGAGAGGGUGAACCCCCACACUGGUACUGAGACACGGACCAGACUCCUACGGGAGGCAGCAGUGAGGAAUAUUGCACAAUGGAGGAAACUCUGAUGCAGCCAUGCCGCGUGCAGGAUGAAUGCCCUACGGGUUGUAAACUGCUUUUAUAUAGGAAGAAACCUUUCUACGUGCAGAGAGCUGACGGUACUAUAAGAAUAAGGACCGGCUAACUCCGUGCCAGCAGCCGCGGUAAUACGGAGGGUCCAAGCGUUAUCCGGAUUUAUUGGGUUUAAAGGGUACGUAGGCGGAAUUUUAAGUCAGUGGUGAAAUCCAGCAGCUCAACUGUUGAAUUGCCAUUGAUACUGAAAUUCUUGAAUACAAUUGAAGUGGGCGGAAUAUGUAGUGGUAGCGGUGAAAUGCUUAGAUAUUACAUAGAACACCGAUAGCGAAGGCAGCUCACUAAAUUGUUAU